rnacentral:rRNA from 1 species
AUUGAACGCUGGCGGCAUGCUUUACACAUGCAAGUCGAACGGCAGCGGGGGCUUCGGCCCGCCGGCGAGUGGCGAACGGGUGAGUAAUGCAUCGGAACGUGCCCAGUCGUGGGGGAUAACACAUCGAAAGAUGUGCUAAUACCGCAUACGUCCUGAGGGAGAAAGCGGGGGAUCUUCGGACCUCGCGCGAUUGGAGCGGCCGAUGUCGGAUUAGCUAGUUGGUGGGGUAAAAGCCCACCAAGGCGACGAUCCGUAGCGGGUCUGAGAGGAUGAUCCGCCACACUGGGACUGAGACACGGCCCAGACUCCUACGGGAGGCAGCAGUGGGGAAUUUUGGACAAUGGGGGCAACCCUGAUCCAGCCAUGCCGCGUGAGUGAAGAAGGCCUCGGUUGUAAGCUCUGUUGUAAGGAAGAACGGUACAUAGAGGGAAGUGCUAUGUAAGUGACGGUACCGUUACCUACGAAAGCCACGGCUAACUACGUGCCAGCAGCCGCGGU